rnacentral:rRNA from 1 species
AUAAAUACAAGUAAAAUUUAUUAUUUAAAGUUAAAAUGAAAAAAAAAAUAAUAUAUAAAUAAAUUUAUUAGGUUAAAUUUUAAAUUUAAAAAAUUAUUAAAUAUUAAUUAUUUUAAGCUUAAAAAUUUUUAAAAUAAACUAGGAUUAGAUACCCUAUUAUAAAAAAUGUAAAUAAAAAAAAAUAGAGUAGUAUUAGUUAUGUUCUUAAAACUUAAUAAAUUUGGCGGUAUUUUAAUCUAUUCAGAGGAACUUGUUUUAUAAUUGAUAAUCCUCGUUAAAUCUUACUUAAUUUAUUUAAUUUGUAUACCAUCGUCAUAAGAAUUUCUUAAAAAAGAAAAAAUUUUCUAAAAAAUUAAAUAAUUAAAAUGUCAGAUCAAGGUGCAGUUUAUAAUUAAGAAAAAAUGAGUUACAAUAAAUUUAUUUAAACGAAUAUAAAAUUUAAAAAUUUUAUUAAAGGUGGAUUUGAUAGUAAAUUAAAUAAUUAAAUUUAAUUGAAUUUAGUUCUAAAAUAUGCACAUAUCGCCCGUCGCUCUCGUUAUUUAAAAUGAG